CGGAAACGGAGCAAGCGGCGGACGGGGGAGAAAGGCAAAGGAACCUCCCUAUUAGGGGGGGACAACAUUCCAAAAGGAAUGCUAAUACCGCAUACCCCCUACGGGGGAAAGCAGGGGAUCUUCGGACCUUGCGCUAAUAGAUGACCCUAAGUCAAAUUAGCUAGUUGGGGGGGUAAAGGCCUACCAAGGCGACAAUCUGUAGCGGGUCUGAAAGGAUGAUCCGCCACACUGGGACUGAAACACGGCCCAAACUCCUACGGGAGGCAGCAGUGGGAAAUUUUGGACAAUGGGCGAAAGCCUGAUCCACCCAUGCCGCGUGUGUGAAGAAGGCCUUUUGGUUGUAAAGCACUUUAAGCGAGGAGGAGG
rnacentral:rRNA from 1 species